rnacentral:rRNA from 1 species
GGCGUAGGCGGAAUUUUAAGCCAGACGUGAAAUCCCGAGGCUCAACCUCGGAACUGCGUUUGGAACUACUUUUCUAGAGGAUAGACGGAGAAAACAGAACUCUGCAUGUAGCGGUGAAAUGCGUAGAUAUGCAGAAGAAUACCGGUGGCGAAGGCGGUUUUCUAGUUUAUUCCUGACGCUGAGGCCCGAAAGCUAGGGGAGCGAACAGGAUUAGAUACCCUGGUAGUC